GGGACAGCGUUAAACAGUUCUUGAGAAACUGAAGGAAACUGCGUUGCCUUAGACCGGGGGCGAAACGUCCGAAAUGUCCUGUAUUUCCAGUUUGGUGGACAGUGAUCUUGUUGCAACAUGAAUUAGAUCAGCGCUAUAUUUUAUUGGCCACAUUCAUUAAUUAACAGAAGUAGUUCCAUAUAGUGGCACAAUAUGCUCUGAAGGAACCUGUGUGCAAGAACUGGACAUGAUAGGCCUCCUCGGAUAAUUUUGCCAUAGGGAUCAGCGUAAAUCUGAAAAAGAUUACGAACUCCAAUAAUUUUCAGCACUCUCUCCAGACUAGAACUCCCAGGACAGGACCGGUAUAAAACACAUAUAUGCUUGUCGGGUAGAUUGGUGCCCACCAGCUACAUCUAUUCCCAGUGCUGAGGGAUGACACUUUGCACCCACCUCUCUGCAGGUAUGACACUGCCUGUGGCUUCUCUGUUAUGAUGCACUCAUUAAUCUCCUUGGUGAUGGCUAAAGCUCAAUGGUCAGACUCAGUGAUGUAGAGAAGAAGCAGCAUUUCACAGGGGCAGCUUGAUUCCCCUCCUAUCUCAGUAAUAGAUGGGGUAAUCAUGAAAAAGCUGUUGUGGUCAUUUUAAAUAUACAGAUGAGUGGUAAGGUUAGGAACAUAGGAAGCUGCCUUAUACUGAGUCAGACCAUUGGUCCAUCUAGCUCAGUAUUGUCUUCACAGACUGGCAGCGUAGCUUGUCAGGUAAGAAGUAUAUUUUUUAUUAUUAAUAAUUAUUAUAAUAAUUAAUAGUUAAUAAUUGUGAGCUGCCCCAAGCAGUAGUGCACUGGAGAGGCGGGGUGUAAAUAUUUCAAAUAAAUAAAUAUUAUAAUAAAAUAUUUAUGCCCCAACCCUUCAGAAUACUACUGCUCAGGGCAGCUCAUAACAUUAAUAACAUAGAUACAAUGUAAAAUAAAAGAUUAAUAAAGUUAAACAAGUUAAAAGACCAGGCUAAAACCACAUUUAAAAUUUAAAACCACAAAUCUUUUUGUUCUAGAACAGGAAUUUGUAACAGUGGGAAGCAGUUUGAAACUAAGCGAUCCAGCAGAUGAGGCAAAUAUUUCAGCAUCUCUAAACGCCAGAUCUUUCUCUUCCUUUGUUUGGUUGUGUAAAUAACCUGUGCCGAAGUUAAUUCUAGAGGUAGUAGGGGGAAAAGAUACUACGUUGCCUGGAGAAGAAUCUUCAUUCUGCAAAUAGAGCGACUUGAACAGGAAACUACAGACAAUUGGGCAACAAUAAGACAACCUUCAUUUUGGGAAUCAUCUGGAAAAAGGUUUUUUUUUAAGUUUAAGAAAAUUAAGUCAUAACAAAUAUUGUGAUGCAAGGUAAGGAAUAUGCAAAGUAAAGAACAUAACUUGUUGCACUGUUUCAGAAAAAGGGGAGCCAAAAAAUCCAGAUAUUAACAUCAGCAACACAGAGGUAAGUGCUUUCUUGCUGAAGAAAGCAGCCCUUUGUUUUCUUUCCUAGAGAAUGAGAUAUAGUGGGGCUGCUGCUGCUGCUAUAAAGUGGGGCUGGGCCAGGGGCGUGAGCCUCUUGGCGAGAGCACAAAGGCUCUCAUCCUUGUGGCGCUUAGACUUGGGGUGAGCAGUCUGGGGCCUUGGAAGACCUUCCUUUUUCCAUCAAGAAGCUAGCGAGAGUGUGACAGAGUGAGUCCUGGACCUGGUUUUCAUCAAACAGAAGAGCUGUGGUUGGUUGGGCUGAGGAGAUGUGUCUGGGAGAGCAGAAAAGUGGGGAUGGUCUGAGGGUGGCAAUAUUACAGGUAGCGGGGCAGAGGGAGGUAUGGUGGUGGGAGUUGGGCAGGCCGUUACAGGGGGAAACAGUCCAGGCAAUUGAGGCCUGUUCUUUUUUCCAGCUCUUCUCUCAACCCUGUGGCUCCAGGGAGCUCUGAGAACACUCCCUCAAGGAUUAGGGUGCUGCUGUUGAAUGUCAGUUGGUGCAGCCUGAGGAUGUGGACAGGAUCCUGGGCAGUGUGCAGGCGACAUCAUGCGGUCUUGAUUCUUGCCCUUCAUGGCCAGUAAAAGCUGCCCGGGAGGGUACGAACAGAUGGUUGGAGGUGAUUAUAAAUGCUUCAUUAAGGGAGGGCAGGAUGCCAUCAUGUCUCAAGGAGGCGAUGCUGAGACCAUUAUUUAAAAAAGCCCUCCCUUGACCCCUCAAACCUGGACAACUAUAGACCUGUUUCUAACCUUCCCUUUUUAGGCAAGGUGACAGAGCAUGUGGUGGUGUCCUGGCUGCAUAGGGUCUUGGAUGAUACAGAUUAUCUAGACCCCUUUCAAUCUGGCUUCUGCCCUGGAUAUGGGACUGAAACUGCCUUGGUCGCUCUAGUGGAUGAGUUAUGUGGAUGACCUACGCCGGGAGCUAGACAGUGGGGAGUGCGUCCCUGCUGGUUCUGCUGGACCUCUCAGCGGCAUUCAGUACCAUCGACCAUGGUAUCCUCCUGGACCACCUCUCAAGUAUGGGAAUCUGAGGUUCUGCUUUGGAGUGGCUCCGGUCCUUUCUUGGGGGGAGGGUCCAGAAGGUGGUACUGGGGGACUAUUGUGCGGCUCCAUGGCCAUUGGGGCUGUGGGGUCCUGCAGGGUUCAGUUUUGUCCCCCAUGCUGUUUAACAUCUACAUGAAACCGCUGGGAGAGGUCAUCCGGGGACUUGGACUGAGUUGUCAGUAAUAUGCAGAUGACACUCAGCUCUAUCUCUCCUUGUCACCUGAUCCUAGGGAGGCGGUGGAUGUCCUGAAUCAGGGGCUGGAGGCUGUGAUGGGUUGGAUGUGGGCUAAUAAACAGAGACUGAAUCCGGACAAGACAGAGGUAAUGUUGGUCAGUAGGAGAGCCAGUCAGGAUGAGGAGAUUCUACCAGUUCUGGAUGGGGUUGCACUCUCCUUGAAGGAGCAAGUAUGCAGCUUGGUGGUAUUGCUGGAAGCUCAGGUGUAGGCGGCAGCCAGGGGUGCAUUUGCACGGCUUUGGCUAGUGCGCCAGCAGCCUCGUUCUUGAGAAGGCAGCUCUUCUCUUUCUUGAGAAGGCAGCUCUGGCCACAGUUACCCAUGCCUUAGUCACAUCACAUCAUGUAACGCGCUCUAUGUGGAGCUGCCCUUGAAGAAUAUUUGGAAACUGCAGCUAGUGCAAAUGUGGCAGCUAGGAUUUUAUCUGGAGCUGCCCGCUGGGAUCACAUCACACCCAUUUUGAAAGAGCUGCACUGGCUACCAAUUUGUUUCUGGGUGUAAUUCAAGGUGCUGAUUUUGACCUUUAAAGCCCUUAAUGGUUUGGGCCCUGGAUACCUAAGGGACCGCCUGCUCCCAAGGGUUGUUGCCCGCUUGACAGGGUCAUCUGAGGGGGCUCUGCUCUGUGUGUCGACAAUGAGGAAGUCUAAGCUGUAGUGCACUCGGGAUAGGGCCUUCUCUGUUGCUGCCCCCAUACUCUGGAAUGCUGUCCCGGUGGCUAUUUGCUCCUCAGUCUCCAUCCCAGUUUUUAGAAAGCAUGUGAAAUCUUGUCUUUUUACCCAGGCUUUUAUAUGAUUGUGUAUACUGCUGCUUCUUUGUAUAUUGUAUUUUGUAUUUGGUUAUUUUAUGCUUGUAUUUGACAUCUUUAGUCAGAUACAUGUUUUUAUAUUUUAGCAUAAUAUUUUAAGUGUGUAUUUAUAUAGUCUUGUGUUAAUUUUUUUGUAAACUGCCUUGGGAUUGUUUUAAUGAAAGGCAUUAUAUAAAUUUAAUAAUAAAUAAAUACAUAAAUUGUACAAUCACAAUGUGCUUUAUUAUCAGCUGGGUCAUGGGGACAAUGGAGCAGGGGGGAUGACUGUUCCUCAGCUUCCAGAGUUGGGGGAGGGGGUGCCAACAAGGCACCUCCUUGCCCUUUGCCAGGGAACCCCAUUCUCCCCUCCUGCAGCCAGCCGGUGAACGAAGCACUUGCCGGCUGGGAGCAUGAGAUGUGCCUCUCUCCUCCCUAUCCAAUUUUUCAUUGAAACACUGGCUGGGCUGGUGGAAAAAGCCCAGCCAGUCCACUUAUUUGUUCUUUCAAAAGAUAAUGGGACACUUCUCCAAGGUAAGUAAAAAUACACCUUUGUGAGGAUUUGAACAGGCCCUCUCCCAGGCAGUAGCCACGCCCUAUGUGUCUGCAGAGGCAGAGAUAGGAGCUCCCAGUCAGCUAUUCAACGAACUGCUGACUGGGGAAACUCUGCAGGGACUGACUGGCCCCGUCCUUGAUCAUGUCCCUUACGUCUGAUGUCAGACAUGGAUGUAUGGCUUGGGCUGUGUGCGUGCUCUGCGCACAUGAUUAAAAAUCAAAAGGAGGGAGGGAGCUGCCAGCAGGACUUUGUCCUCCAGCCAUAGGCAAGCUCCCUACGCUCCUGAUAGCGGCAAAUGGCUUGGCUUGAAAUGCAUAGUUUUCAAUCAGCAACAAACUCAUAACAAAAAGUCCAAUGAUACACAUGGUUGCAAUGUUUCAGGAAGGAGGAAGUAUAAAAGUUUGCAGAUGGUCAGCCACAACAUGGAGGUAAGGUCUUAAGAGGUAAGUCCUUUCUUGCCAAAGAAAAUGACUACUUGGUUUCUUUUCUGGCCCACUGACCUUUUCAAGUUAACCGCAGAAGAUAUCUGUCAUGGUCAGAUGCUGCCCUGGCCAUUUUGAUUACUCUUUUGCAGACUGAAUUUUCCAGUUUACAAGGAAUUGCAAGCUAUCUGUUAUAUCAAAAGAAAAUAAGACACUUCUCCAAGGUAAGUAAAAAAUACACCUUUGUUUAGCGUGGGACCAGACUUGUGCAGAGAACUGGAUGGGGGGCAAUCUUUAUUUGCAGGAAAUGGCUUGGCUUGAAAAGCAUAAAGCAAUUAAUGGUUUCUCACAAGCUUAAGAAAGCAAAAAACUCAUAAGAAACAGUCUGGUGGGAGGUAUGGAACAUCAAAAUUGUUGCUUUGUUUCAGGAUAAGUGAAAUAUCACCAAUAUGGAAAUAGACCCUUAAGAACCAAGACAUUUAUUGCUGUUGGGAGUGGCUGCUCGGUUCCAUUUCUAGCCCACUGGUCUUUUCAGACUACUCACUGAAGAUGACCUGGAGCCCUUGUGAAUUACUGGAUACCUGAGUGGCACUUGCAGGAAGAAAGAAAUCCUGGAGACCAAGUGAGUGGUGUAGACCAGCGCAACAGCAGUGCUGCCAUUGUUCUUUCCUUGGAAGUCUUCAGAACUGGGCAACUUGACUCCACAAAUAAAAUAAUCCUUUUGAUCAUUCAAAUCAGCAGGGUAAAUAUAAGAAAGCUCUGAAAGUAACUGUCUGCAUCGGCCAGUCAGUUGUGUAUUGGUCUUCAAGAAUUGCUCUCUUAGCAGUGCAUUCUUUCCUUCUUACAAGGGUUCUUUAUCCAUUCAAAGCUUCUGAUAUUCUUCUUCAGACGCAUUUCCUCUGUCAUAUAGUGUGCUUUGUUCCUUUUGUAAUAAGGCCACCUCUCGGCCCAGGGCUUUCUUCUGCCUCUCCAGCUCAUUCCAAAGCACCCAAAUCUUCAACCAUAAACAUUCACUUUGUUUUUUCAGUGCUCUGCUUGCAGACUUAAGCCUCAGUUUCUCUUCAAUCUCCCUUCCUAUUUUCUGAACAGUUACCUGAGUCUGUUUAAUUGCACAUUGGACUCAGUGAAGUCUAAACAAAUAUAAGAUGUCAUGAGUUGUGAACACAGUUCUGAUCCACCUGGAGGAGGCUAUUCUAGAUUCCUGAGUGGCCCUUUUGUUCAUAUGAGGCUCCAUAAUAACCAUUGUUCAGCCCCAAAAUGAUUUCAUUUGAGCUCCGAGCAUGUAUCUGCAGAUAUUUGAGUCUAUCUAGACUGACUUUCCACUCAAUCAGUAGCUGACGGGCAUCAUUCUUGCCACCCCAUAUCCUCACAACAAAACAGGACACAGAUGUAUCGAGGUGAUUGGGCAUUAGAUCAAAGUCAAGACUUUGCCAUGUUGGAUUCAGAGACUUCUUUAUUAUUUCACUCUUAUAAAAUUCUUUACAUAUCUUUGUAUUAUCACACAGAUGAAGGGUGAAGUAGGUGUCAAGAAGGCGCUAACCAUCCCUGUUGAUAAUGUUACAUGCAGCAAUGUUCCGCAGAUGAGGAAGAUGCCACUGCUGCGAGGAGAGCUCCAUGUAGAGGGUGUAGGAGGUGGCACCUGGUGGGACCAGGACAGUGGAGGUGGUGACGCCUUAGCUCAUGCUGGCGGGGCCCAGCGGGGAGGGGUUAGACUGGGAGAAGUGGGACAAGUGAGGAAAGGGGUGUAGGGUAUAGUUGGUAGUACACCAGAAAAAAAAAAGUCAUGUGGCUCCAAAACAAUAAUUUUGAGAUGCCUUACACACUCGGUACCUACAAUUGGUGUUCUUCAAACUGAAAAUCUUUAUGGGCUGAUGAUGCAUCAUUCUUACUCGAAGUCCAGAUUAGAGCACUUAUUCUGUAUGCAAUGAUACAAGUUGAACACAAGAGGGCACUUUGAUUCUAGCUUUAAAAUAAACGGGGACAGUAAAAUUAAUAAAUAACAUUACAACCAGCGUGAAAACAAUCAUAGUUGCAGCAUGGUUCACCUUGCACAGUAGUUGCCUAUUAUUUUGUCAUUAAGCAUUAUGAAAAAGCCCAUGUCUUCCCGUGAUGGGCUGUACUGAUAUUUUAUGGAAUUGAUAAUUGGCAAGAGGUAACCCUUAGUAACUCCCUGGUUAUGAACAGAUUUACUAGGGUAUGUUGGGCGGGCGAUUACUGCCGACAAUUCUUGCUUCAAGAUGGAACUGUUGCUGCAAUUUAUUGUGAUGCAAAAAAGCAAGGGGACACAUGGUAAAAUUAAGAGGCAUUAAAAGGCAUGUUAGAAUAAACAAGACGUCUCCCAAAUACAUCAUAUCAUGUUCUAAAGGAUUAGAGAUAAGCAGGAUUCAACUUUAUUUAUUAGGGCCCCUAAUUAUUACUUAUCACUUGUAUCACCUUUUUUUGGUACAUGAAGUGUUUACAAUCCUCCGGAAUUUUGUGAAGUAGAUCUUAUUACUUAUAUUUUGUGGAGAAGGAACUGAAGUUUUGGUACAGUCACUUGUUAAACUGAUUAUGAAACAUCUCCCAUCCUUGAGGCUAACCAUUUACUAAACUCUAAGAGACACUUCACACAUGAUGGCCAACAUGUUGCACAGCGUUAUAAUUGCAGAAGGAUGUUGCUGUAGCACAAAAUCCAUGACCAAGGGAGAUCCACUAUACUUGGAACUUAUGUUGCUGAUUAGUGUUUCCACUUGCACAACUGCAGUAGUGCAAGAAAUAAGCCAGCACUUGCGCAGGAGGAGUUAGCAGCCCAAGCUGUGCUUGCUCAGGAUGCAUUGUGCAGUUUUGCUGCUUGCACAUUUGGACAUAAUGCAGUUAUGAUAUUUUCUUGUGCAAAUUCCUGAGUUCUACCAGUGCAAUGCUGCACAACAUGUUGGCCAAUUUCUCACCCAACAUUGAGAUAAUCUCCACAUGGGAAGAACUGUCAUUGCUGGUGCUAGCACUUGGCAAGCUUGAGCAUUUGCCACAUCUCUGGCCAGUUUAGGCCCAUUGUACAAAUAGCACCAUGUUCUUCAGUGACAUGUAAUGUGCUCCCAAUUAGGAUCAAGCACCAACAUGAUCAGAUUACUGAGCUGGCCCAGCAUCACACAUAUUGACAAUGCACUCUUCCUUUCUUUGUCACCCUCCCUGCCCCUUACCUGUGGAUGGCCCAGACAUGAGGCUCACUGCUUGACUGAAGUAUGGGUGGCCGUGAGAAGCUGGGUAGGCAGUUUGGGAAUAGGGCUCCCUGACGGUGUCCUUCCUGGGAGCUCACAAGAACCUGCGUCUAGCC